rnacentral:rRNA from 1 species
UUCCUACGGGGGGCUGCAGCAGGGAAUCUUGGGCAAUGGGCGAAAGCCUGACCCAGCGACGCCGCGUGGAGGAAGAAGUCCUUCGGGGCGUAAACUCCUGGACUGGGGGACGAGUAAGGACGGUACCCCAGUAGAAAGGGACGGCUAACUACGUGCCAGCAGCCGCGGUAAAACGUAGGUCCCGAGCGUUGUUCGGAUUCACUGGGUGUAAAGGGCGCGUAGGUGGUUGUCUGUGUCUCAUGUGAAAACUCAGGGCUCAACUCUGAGAUUGCGUGGGAAACUAGGCAGCUAGAGGACGGUAGAGGGGAGUGGAAUUCCCGGUGUAGCGGUAAAAUGCGUAGAUAUCGGGAGGAACACCGGUGGCGAAGGCGGCUCUCUGGGCCGAUCCUGACGCUGAGGCGCGAAAGCUAGGGGAGCGAACCGGAUUAGAUACCCGAGUAGUC